rnacentral:tRNA from 1 species
UCCCUGGUUGCUUAGGGGUAAAGAACCUGUCUGUAAUGCAGGAGACCUGGGUUUGAUCCCUGGCUGGGGAA